AACGAACGCUGGCGGCGUGGAUAAGACAUGCAAGUCGAACGGGAACUUUCGCUGUAGCAAUACAGUGAAAGUUUUAGUGGCGAACGGGUGCGUAACACGUGGGGAAUCUGCCGAGAAGUGGGGGAUAGCUCGUCGAAAGGCGAAUUAAUACCGCAUAUGAUCAGCCAAGACAUCUUGGCGACAUCAAAGCCGGGGCAACCUGGCGCUUCUUGAUGACCCCGCGGCCAUCAGCUAGUUGGUGAGGUAACGGCCCACCAAGGCUAUGACGGGUAGCUGGUCUGAGAGGACGACCAGUCACACUGGAACUGAGACACGGUCCAGACACCUACGGGUGGCAGCAGUCGAGAAUUUUUCUCAA
rnacentral:rRNA from 1 species